AUUGAACGCUGGCGGCAUGCCUUACACAUGCAAGUCGAACGGCAGCACGGGUGCUUGCACCUGGUGGCGAGUGGCGAACGGGUGAGUAAUAUAUCGGAACGUACCUUAUUGUGGGGGAUAACGCAGCGAAAGCUGUGCUAAUACCGCAUAAUCCCUUAGGGGGAAAGCGGGGGACCGUAAGGCCUCGCGCAAUUAGAGCGGCCGAUACCUGAUUAGCUAGUUGGUGAGGUAAAGGCUCACCAAGGCAACGAUCAGUAGCUGGUCUGAGAGGACGAUCAGCCACACUGGGACUGAGACACGGCCCAGACUCCUACGGGAGGCAGCAGUGGGGAAUUUUGGACAAUGGGGGCAACCCUGAUCCAGCAAUGCCGCGUGAGUGAAGAAGGCCUUCGGGUUGUAAAGCUCUUUUGUCAGGGAAGAAACAGCAGCUCUAACACAGU
rnacentral:rRNA from 1 species